rnacentral:lncRNA from 1 species
AGCCAGCCCAAUCAGGUCUGCCUCCCAGCUCUCUCUUCACUAUGACCUUCUUCCCCCUUCCAUGUAGUUUAAGCUGCUGCCUAGAGCGUUUGGACAGCCUUUUUCUGCUGCCGGCCAAGCUGUCUCUCUGCCUUUUCCACACUGCACCUCACCCAGCAGUCAAAGUAGGCAGUCCCUCGGAUUCCUACCGCAGUGCUCUGGCUCAAGACCUUCCGGCACUUGUUACAUAUGUAUCUUAUUGUGAUUCUUCUUCACCUUGUUCUCUGACUGCCCCGGUGGGACAGCGAUUCUUGGUUGUUCACCCUUCAAUCUCUCUGGCUUACAAGAAGAGUCAUUGAUACCACUGCAGAGGAGCUUCGUCGCCCAUAGCAGCCCGUGGCUACAUGGAUCAUGGGACUUCUGCAUGGUUUUGGGGGGGGGGGGCAGCUUGGAUCACAGACAUCUACCUGGUCUCCCGCAGCAGCAUGGACCAUGAACAUCAACAAGGCCUGCUGCGGCAGGAAGAAUCGACACGGCCUCUGGAGGUGGCAUGGACCACGGACGUCUUUCAAGGAGACUUAAUCCAGAAAACGGAUCACUCAUCUCAGACAAUCUUGUUCAGAGUCAGUGUGUGCAGUUGGGCCGUGUGUCUGGGGGCAGGACCUGUGUGAAAUCCAGGCUGCUGCACAGCACUCUGCCCUUAGCUGCCCUGUCAACAGCCUAGGCACAACCAUCCUAUCUGCAGCACAAGGGCAGUGAGGUAACCCUGGAUCUUAUCCCCACAGCAGGGCGAGCAGCCAGAGAAGCUCCAGCUGCUGUAAUGUAAAC